GAAGUCGGCAUGAACACAACUUGAAGCUCUAAUGAUUGGAGUCGGGAACGGGUUCCAUCUGUACCAUCUGUACAAAGUGUAUUGAUCUGUCGGACUGAAACGUCAAAUGAAACUUUAACUUCACAGGAGAAAUGAAGUGUGACUGUUUUGUGUUUUCAGGAGGAAGUUGGUUCCCCUCAGCAGGAAGGUGGAGCGGAGAGAGAAAAGGAAAGAGGAGAAAGCUCUGAUCGCUGCUCAGCUGGAUAACGCCAUCGAGAAGGAGCUUCUGGAGAGACUGAAACAGGGAACGUAUGGAGACAUCUACAACUUCCCAAUCCAAGCCUUUGAUAAGGCUCUGGAGCAGCAGGAUGAAGAGAGCGAGGAGGAGGAGGAGGAAGAUGAGGAGGAGGUGGAGGAUGA